rnacentral:rRNA from 1 species
AUUGAACGCUGGCGGCAUGCUUUACACAUGCAAGUCGAACGGUAACAGGGUGCUUGCACCGCUGACGAGUGGCGAACGGGUGAGUAAUGCGUCGGAACGUGCCGAGUAGUGGGGGAUAACGCAGCGAAAGUUGUGCUAAUACCGCAUACGUACUGAGGUAGAAAGUGGGGGACCUUCGGGCCUCACGCUAUUCGAGCGGCCGACGUCGGAUUAGCUAGUAGGUGAGGUAAAGGCCCACCUAGGCGACGAUCAGUAGCGGGUCUGAGAGGAUGAUCCGCCACCCUGGGACUGAGACACGGCCCAGACUCCUACGGGAGGCAGCAGUGGGGAAUUUUGGACAAUGGGCGAAAGCCUGAUCCAGCCAUGCCGCGUGUCUGAAGAAGGCCUUCGGGUUGUAAAGGACUUUUGUCAGGGUGGAAAUCCCUAGUGCUAAUAACACUGGGGGAUGACAGUACCUGAAGAAUAAGCACCGGCUAACUACGUGCCAGCCGCCGCCGUAA